GGCCUUUCCAUGACCAGACCCUCGAACGCCACCCUCCUCCCGGUGAGACUCCAGUGGGCAGGCAGUUCCUUCAACGGCCAGGCGCUGGUGGAUUCAGGAGCGGAGGGUAACUUGAUGGACUUUUCUUUGGCUCACAAACUUCACCUCCCGAUCACAGCGCUGGAACACCCUAUCACUAUCCACGCUCUUAAUGGACAGGAACUCCCGGGUAUUACUCACAUCACUGGACUCAUCACACUCAUUACCUCGGGUAACCACACGGAGAGGACUUCACUCUACCUCACCCGGUCACCUCACGCCCCCAUUGUCCUGGGUCAUCCGUGGUUGGCUAAACACGGACCCAGGAUAGAGUGGGGUCAGAACUCUGUGUCCAGCUGGAGUAAUUCAUGUUAUGCCUCAUGUCUUUCGUCUGCUGUUCCGUCUGUUUCUUGUUCUGUGUUGCAGGAGGAGUCAGUGAAUCUGUCCAACGUGCCACCGGAGUAUCUCGACCUGAAGGAAGUGUUCAAUGGUUGUGGAGGUUCCCGGGUCGGCACUGGCCGUCUUUUCCCCUUGCUCCAGUUCCGGUGUCCGGUUGGAUGUCUGCCUGGUUAGGAGGAUCGUGUUCUGGUUUCCUGCUAGCUGUCUGCCCCUGAGUCCUGCGUUGCCGAGCCAAGUAUUGACUUUGUCUGCUGCCUUUGGACCGACACUAUCUCUGUUCUUGGAUGUUAAUAAACAUUACUGGCACUUGCUAUUGGAUCCUUGACUGUUCUUUCGAGCCAUGACAAAUACUAAAUACAAAAUGCCCAAUCCUAAAUACAAAAUGCCCAAUCCUAAAUACCAAAUUAAUUUUCGACUUGGACUUUAAGUUUCAAAUUUAGAUUUUUAGUUUUGGUUUAAGACUUUUAGUUUUAGACUUUUAGUUUAUAAUCUGACCAAAUAAUUCCUCCAUACAUACCGCUACCAUGUAGUGCAGAGUUUUAGCCCUGUUUGGAAACGUUGUGGUUAUUUGACCACAGCGGGUACGCCAAUAAGUCAUCAAACCAUGAUUAAAGAAAUUCUUGACACGUGUGAGAAAAUUCCACCAAACAGUGUCACAGUAUGUAAAGUCACAGGUCACAGUACUUUCAAUGAUUGGUUGGCGAAAGGAAACUCUCUAGCUGAUAAGGCUGCGAGAGAAGCUGCAAAGGGUGUGGCACUUGAGGAAGUAGCCGUUAUUUUCCCUGUUCAUCCUGACUGCACGGGUUCCGAAACUUUAUCUAAAUUGUACACUGAGGAUCAUGAAAUGUGUCAGAAAUUAGGAGCUACCUUAACUGAAGAAGGGGUUUAUGCCCUGAAUGACAGUCAUUCCGCCUAGCGGAUAUCAAACUGAACUAAUUGAGUUGUACCACAGCAUUGCACACCAAGGGGUUCAGAAAACACAUGCUAUGUUACAACAAACAUGGUUUUGGCCAGAGAUGUUACAAACUGUGAAGGAUGGACUGUCCAGAUGUAUCCACUGUUUGCAAACGCAGCCAUAAUUUGGAAAAGGUAAAAUCCCAAUUGGUCACAGUCCUCGCCCGCGAGGACCAUUCACACAUUUACAAUUGGAUUUUAUUUCGUUACCUUCUGAUCAUGGGUACAAAUAUGUACUAGUUUUUGUUUGUAAAUUUUCCAGAUGCUCUGAAAGGGUGUAUUGAAUUUUCAUCCCUCUCAUUGCUCCAUGGUUCGGAAAUGAUAGAUUUUCAUAAAAUAGGGGUAUCUUUACUGGGAUUUAGGUUAUAAGCAAUGUCUGUAUUUGGUAUCUGUGAGGUGACUGAGGGUCCGACCUAUGUCAGGAAUGCAAUAACAGUGAUUAUUCAUUUAGCCCGGCUUCCAGAGAAUAAUACAUAUAUAUGUUUAUGGCAAUUAAUUUAUUUUACGAUAUAACAAAUUAAUCAAAAUUCAUCAUAGUUGUAUAAGACAUAUAAAAAGAAAAAUACAAAUAAGUCAAAUUUCUUUCUAAAAAGGUCUUUGGGUUUUAACUGUACCUUCCCCUAAAGCUCCGUUGUUGCGCUCAGGUCCUUCGGGUCCAUUGAAGGACACUUUGCAGGAGUAUCUUAAAGUACUCACGUGCGCAUUGAAGAAUGCCCAUUUCAGUGCCCUCAGUGCUCAAAAUGCUGGAGAUCUUAAAAACGCUAUAUUCAAUGUAAAGGUUAAAAAUCACGUACAAGUGGGGGACGAAGUCAUGACACAGAAAAUAGGGAACUUAGGACCAAUGUCCUCCAGGUAUGAGGGUCCUUAUUCGGUGUUGUUGACUACUCCAACAUCUCUUCUUGUUGAAAUCGAGCCAGGGCUGACUCGAUGGAUGCAUCUUGCACAAGUGAAGCCUCUGUCGCCACUUGCCGAUACUAACUCUCUUUCUAAUGUGAUUUAGUCCAACAGGUACAGUAUUUUAUAUCCAAGGAAUGGCUGCUAAGGAAGAACAAUGACUAAUUGUUUCCUCUCUUUAGGUUCUCAACUAUGAUUCCAUCUGGACCUGUUGUGUUUAAAAAAAAAUAAAAAAGAAGGAACUGAAAACCAUGGUGUUCAUGUUUAUGUGUACUGGUAUUGUCCUGUUUAGUUUGACUAUGUUUUGUUAUGUGUGUGUUUUUGUUGUGUUUUUAUCCAGAUAUUUCUGCUCCUACUAUUCUAUAUCUCUAAUAGGUACGAGUGCAUGCUGUCACAGAAAUAUUCUGUGUAUAUUUACCACACACGACUGGUUCUAAGGGUGACUCUUUGAUGUGACUUCUGCAACAGUGCAGCUCAUUGACAUUCUGGGAGUGGUUGCUGUGCUCGUGGCUGGACAUCAGUGUUUCAUCAUAACAUCACUCGUUUACUAAUUCUACAUCACCUGAGAGACCUGGGCUAUAGUCUACCAGCUGAUAUAUAUAUACAUUUGUAAAUUCCUACAUUAAGAUGAUUAAGAUGCCUUACAAGAUUGUUGAUCAAAGAGAUUCUUAUUCUCCCAUUUAUACCAGUAGUGAUGAGGAAAUCUAUAUCUUGCAGGUGAAGGGUAAGGAAAGGUAUGAGAUGUUGAAAACGAUCAACGAAAGUUUGGAAGUUAACGACAUGGUACCCCCUUAUGAUAAGGACAAAUAUCUUCAACUAAUACCUCCCAAGGGCAAGAAGAGAAAGAACGAUGAGAGUUUAGAGUUGGAAAAGAUGGAAGGCUGUGGUAAGUCCUCAACCCAGCAAAAGUCCAGGGGACGCCAGGGGUCGAAUUUCCUUAGGAGUUCUCGUCUGGCCAUCUUGGUGAAGAUCUUUGUUAAUUUUAAGGUAGCUGGGGUUAGAGAGGUAUCUACAGUACUAUCUAUCUGAAAUUGUUUUAUUGAUUUUCUAUAUUUUCAUGUAUGCAUCAUGUAUUUUUCUUUUGAAUUACUCUGUAUUUUUGGUUUUGAUUUAAGGGAAAGGUUGUGGCGAGUCUUUUGAUAAGACUCGAGUGGGGGAUUGGUGUGUGGAGAUUCUAAGAAAUCCACAUGGUGAUAGAGAUUCUGAGAAGAAGUCCACGUAUUUAAAUUAAACCCAAGAUGUAUCUUACUCUGAAGUUACGCAUUCAAAAUGUGUUCUAUUCAUAAUAAGUUUCAUUUCAAAAGUUAAAAAUUAAUAUUUCAUGGUAAGGAUCUGUCUCAUAUAUAUAUUAACAGGUUUCAUUUUUAUAUUCAAAAAUGUUUUUGGUAAACUUUAUGGUAUAUUUCAUAUGUAAUUUCACAGUAUUUCUAACUUCGUAGUCAGCUGAGUCUGUUUUGCAUAUGAAGUUGAACUGCACGUAUUGUUCUUUUGUAUCAAUAUUUCUUAGAAUUAUCAGUAUGAUACUUUGAAUCUAAAAGAGGAAGAAGUCUAAAAUCGAGACAUUGACUAGACUAUUUUUAAAGGUCAGGUGUUAUUAGUGAUAGCCCAGAUGACUGGAACAACAGUAUAUAAGAUAGACUCUGCAAAAUAGAGUGGGUUUUUGACUUUCUGAGACUCUGGUCUCUCUAUCUUUUCAGCUCACUUCCUCUUCUUUGGCUUCACUCGACAACUCUUAGACUCAGACUUAGAACUCUUACAGGUUUUUAUUCAAAUUCAGAUACCUUGAAAUUCAGAUACUUUGAUACUCUGAUACUUUGAUAUUUUAAUAUUUUAAUACUUAAUAUUUUGGUACUUUUGAUUUAAAACAAAUAACUGUUUAUGUUUUACUUACAAUUUUAUUAAUGUUUUGAUUAAUACGGGCUCAAUCCAUCAUAAAUGGAUUGUUAUUAAAAAUUUACUAAAAUUGGAUUUAUAUUUUCUAUAUUUGAAGGUUGUUAUUAUUAUCCAGAACUUUAUUUCCAAGUUAUGAUUUGUGGUUUCUGUUCUCUAUAUUCUUUUUAAUAAAUUUACAUAUUAUUACACCUUGACCGUCUGAAUUGGAUUAAAUUUUGCAUCAACAAUAAUAUUGUUAAAUAGUAUUACAAUUUAAAAUAAUUUUUUUAGUUAUUAUUAUUAUUUAUUUAUUUAUUUAUUUAUUUUUUCAUUUUAAAAUGUAAUUUAUUGACAGGAUUAUUUCAGCAAAGAAAUGUCACUUUUUUCAGGAUGGUGUAUUUCAAAGAUUUUGUAAAAUCCAAGUAAGUGAUUUUUGCUUGGUUUUAAUAAAUAGAAUGAUAAUUACAUUGUUAAUGUAAAAAUACAAAAUAUA
ensembl:lncRNA